rnacentral:rRNA from 1 species
AGCAGCCGCGGUAAUUCCAGCUCCAAUAGCGUAUAUUAAAGUUGUUGCAGUUAAAAAGCUCGUAGUUGAACUUCAGGCCUGGCUGGACGGUCCGCCUUCCGGGCGAGCACUGUCUGUGGUCGGGUCCUACCUUCUGGCGAAGCGUCAUGGCCUUAACCGGCUGUGGCGGGGAACCAGGACUUUUACUGUGAAAAAAUUAGAGUGUUCAAAGCAGGCAAUUCGCUUGGAUACAUUAGCAUGGAAUAAUGGAAUAGGACAAUGGUUCUAUUUGUUGGUUUCUAGGACUGUUGUAAUGAUUAAUAGGGAUAGUUGGGGGCAUUAGUAUUCAAUUGUCAGAGGUGAAAUUCUUGGAUUUAUUGAAGACUAACUACUGCGAAAGCAUUUGCCAAGGAUGUUUUCAUUAAUCAAGAACGAAAGUUAGGGGAUCGAAGACGAUCAGAUACCGUCGUAGCCUUAACCAUAAACUAUGCCGACUAGGAAUCGGGCGAUGUUGACAAAAUGACGCGCUCGG